AGCUAAGUUUGUAUACAUUUAAAAAUUUUAUCAUAUUUUAGAUAAUUUGUAAAAAAAAAAAAAUCAUAUUUGACUAUACUUCAAAAACAUAAAUAGACAUACCUAUAGAACUAAUUAUUAAUUAGAACUAUAGUUACUAAAGCAUAAAUUGCAAUAAAUAAAUUUAAUAUAAUAAAGUACAUAAAAAAUGGAAUAGAUAAAUAAAUAGAUAAAGAGACUACAUUAUAUAGGUACACUGGUAUAUUACAAAGGGUAUAGAUCACUAGUAUUAUUUAACAACCAUAAUUUAAUAUAGUGUUUAUAUAUUUUAUUAGACGAACUGUUAAUAAUUUGCAGUGGAAUGUCGUUUAAUAAUCUCAAACCCACUUGCGAAAAACAUCGACUAGAUUUCGAUAUACGAACAGUAGGUAUUUCUAAGUUGGUUUUUUGACGUGUGUUAUAGUGUCUAGGUUUAAACUCGAUUAGAUUAAAUUUGUAUGUGUAAUAUAGGGCAUUUCUGUAGAAUAGUUGUUGCGUUGUAAAAAUUUUAAAUUCAGUAAACAGAUCUUUAGUUGGAUAUGUUUUUCGUUUACUUAAAAUUAUUUUAAUUAUGCUUUUUUGAGCUCUGAAUAUUUUAUUGCUUCUUAUAAUACCUAAGCCACCCCAGGCGGUUAUUCCGUAUUGUAUAAUAGAUUGUGUCAUGGCAAAGUAUAAUAAACGUAGAGCUUGGUUAUUUAGGAAUUUUCUUGCGUUAAUGAACAGAUAGUGCAUUUUCCGUAGUUUCAUUAUUGUAUUAUUUAUGUGUGUAUCCCAUUUUAGGUGUUGAUCAUAUGUAAUACCUAAAUAUUUAAUAGUUUCCGUUUUAUUUAUAACAUUACACGAACAAUUAUUAGAUUUACAGUCGAUGUCAUGAAUUUUAAUUGUAUUUGAAUUGGGUUGGGUUCUAUUGUCUAGGGUGAAAUUAAUGUAAUUUGAUUUAGCGUAAUUUAUUCUUAAAUUGUGUUUGAGGAACCAUGCAUUUAUCAAGUGUAGGUCUGUUUCUGCUUUUAGGUGAACUUCGUCCCAGUUGUCCCCUGAUAUAAG